GCGAGGAUGGCGGAACUGGCAGACGCGCUAGAUUCAGGUUCUAGUGGCCGCAAGGCUGUAUGGGUUCAAAUCCCUUUCCUCGCA
rnacentral:tRNA from 1 species